UUGUUCUUGCUUGUCCCUGAUUACGUCCUUGUGUUGCUGUUUGGCACAGACAUCUCUUUCUCAUGUUUCCUGUAAACUGGUGUUACUUUUAGAAGGUUUUUUUUUUUUUUUUAAGAAUUCUUUGCUGACAACCCUAACUUCCUCUCAGAUCACAUAUUAUGGUGGAACCCUGGCUGUUGCUUUCCUGGUGUUCUGUUGUUUAAUACAUUUAUGCAAACAGUAUCUUUACACAGCGGUCACAGGCCCUUGAACCUCUUACUCAGUACGUCUGGCAGGCAGUGGCAACUGUUGCGAGGUCAAUUCUUUCAUUAGGACUGGAAAAGUACAGGUAAAGUAUAAUGAAUUCCUGUGUCUGAAAUCCGAGAUGCCCUGAGAUCCAAAACUUUCUGGCACUAAGUUGUCAAACUGAAAAAAUUCUGCAGAUAGUGAUUCAGUGGUUAAGAGUGCUGACUACUCGUGUAGAGGAUGUAGGUUUGUUUUCCAACACCCACAUGACCACUUACAGAUGGUCCAGGAUCCCCCAAGCCCACUGGGACGACCACCCAUAGAACCGUCAAUCAGCCGAGACUCCGAGAUCCUAGCAGUAACCUGAGGUCUCCAGAGAAGAUUAUGAGACACCAGAUGUUUCCACCUGGAUUAUGACGACGCUGACCACUGGGCGAGGUGCCCCAGUGCAACACCUGCUGCCAGGACCUGGUCCAGACUGUGGACAGACAGCAGGACCUUGGAGAAUUGAUUGCACCUCUUUUUCCUAGACAAAAUAAAGUCAGUAUUUUCCAUGCCCCUCUUCCACAGGAAAAAAAAUUCACCUUAUGGGUCUGGCUUAGACAGUAAGCCUGGAUAUUUCUGCCUCCAAUGCUAUGGAGACCUGGGUAUGGCUAACUGUAUAUGGACUCUGGUCCCUGUAGUUUUUAAUAGAUUUGAAACUAUUUGGUCUGUACUCAGAUAUACUUUAUCCUUCUGAGAUCUCUGAUAGUAUUAAUGGCUAGGGCAGUAAUAAUGUCAGUUUAAUAGCAAAAGGUAUCCAGAUUCUUCCACAAAGCUAUAGUCAACUUGUUAGCUAGUACUCGAAGGUGUGAGUCUAUACCUCCUGUUUACAGACAUCUGUUAUCUGCUCUUUUUCUAAGUUUUAACUUCUGUUCCCAGUUUAAACUUAUCUCAAUAGGCUUCCACUUGACUGACAGACGCAUCUAAGCAUCAGCUGCUGACUACAACCUACUCUGAAUGGCGGCGAGCCCUGGGCUUCCUGAAAGCUGAUGUGGACCAGUCCAGCUGAUAUGAACACUUCCUGUUCCUUCAACGAAGUCUGAUGAGUGCCCCAUUGCCUAAAUUCCCUCCCCAGCUUUGGCUAGCCUUUCAACCUGCUUGGGCUCUGAUAACAACACACUAACGUCAGGUUGAAGUAGUUGCGGAAAGGAACACAUUGUCCCAUGCUCCUUGCCCAAGAUAGAUUGGAAGGCUGAGACAAGAGGGAACUCCCUGGCAUGGGGGACAAGAUAAUCACCUAUAGUGCCUGUUAAUAUACUAAAAAAAAAAUAGGCUCAAAGUUGUCAAUUAAUGGAUUUAUUAAUUUAAAUAGUUCCAUACCUCCUUAAAACCAGGGGCAAGCAGUACCCAAUAUUGGGUCCUGUCAUUGGUGCUUGUGAAGAGGGAAAUGUAGGAGCCAGCCUUGAUAAUCUAAAUAUGAACAGAUCACUCAAAGGAAGUUCUUUACUUCCAACCAUUAACACCUGCCAGAGUAGGACUGGGCCAUCAGUAAAAUUAAAUGAAGGCUUGAGUCUCAGUAGUUUACCCUGAAAUUAUACCUGGUUUCAGGAAGAACCACAAGCUGAGAUUACCCGACAACCACCCCAAAACAGACCCUCCAAAGGAAAUGCCUAACAUUCUAACUGCUGUAGAUAGGAUCACCUGCCAGCACACUCACCAGGACACCCCUAGACAAAUGUCAGCCAAUCAGGGGUCCUGAACCUCAGAAACCCCUCACCCCCACAUUUCCUACUAUAAAAAACCCUCCUACUGAGCUUGGGGCUCUCUUUUUAUUCUAAUACAUUGGACAGGCGGAGAGACCGCGUCUGCAAACUUGCAUAAAAUAAAGGCUGUUUGCUUUUACAUACAGGA